rnacentral:rRNA from 1 species
CCUACGGGAGGCAGCAGUGGGGAAUAUUGCACAAUGGGGGAGACCCUGCUGCAGCGACGCCGCGUUAGUAAAGAAGUAUUUCGGUUUGUGAAGCUCUAUCAGCAGGGACGAAAAUAACGGUACCUAACUCAGAAGCCCCGGUUAACUACGUGCCAGCAGCAGCGGUAAGACGGAGGGGGCAAGCGGUAGCCUGAUUUACUGGGUGUAAAGGGGGCGUAGACGGCGCGGCAAGUCUGAAGGGAAAGGGAGGGGCUUAACCCGUGACGUGCUUUGGAAACUGGCAUGCUGGAGUGCUGGAGAGGUAAGUGGAAUGCGUAGUGUAGCGGUGAAAUGCGUAGAUAUUAGGAGGAACACCAGUGGCGAAGGCGGCUUACUGGACCGUAACUGACGUUGAGGCUCGAAAGCGUGGGGAGCAAACAGGAUUAGAUACCCGGGUAGUC